CAACCGGCGCACGGGUGAGUAACACGUAUGCAACCUGCCCGUCUCAGGGGGAUAAUCGUCGGAAACGGCGUCUAAUACCCCGUAUGAAGCUGGACGGCAUCGUCUGGUUUUGAAAGAAUAUCGGAGACGGAUGGGCAUGCGGCGCAUUAGCUAGUUGGCGGGGUAACGGCCCACCAAGGCGACGAUGCGUAGGGGUUCUGAGAGGAAGGUCCCCCACACUGGUACUGAGACACGGACCAGACUCCUACGGAAGGCAGCAG
rnacentral:rRNA from 1 species